CAAGAAUCGUAACUUCUUCUUGGAAUGAAAAGAAUGAAAGCUUUGUGCGAUAUAAAUACAGCACAUGUAUUCAUAUUGUUAAAAUUGUAUGAAUUUUUGCAAAAUUCAUCUUACAUUGCGGGUAUUCUUUGCAAAGUAACAGUAAGGCUCAUGAAAGAUUAUUAUAGGCAAUGGGAGUGAAACUUAUAUUUAGUCUCUCUGUACUUUCUGCUAUAUUUUUUUUCUUCCUUAUUUUGAAAAACUCUAAUAUCUCAGUGAAUUACAGUAGGAACUUGAAAUUUGAAAGAGACAAAAAAUCCAGAAACAGAGCUGGUCUUUUGAUCAGGAUAAUUAUUGAGCUAAUAAAAAAAAAAAAAAAGUUUUUUGCACCUCAUAUAUUUAAGAAGAUUAGAAUAUUAUAAAAAUAUUACAAAGAGCAUGACAAUAGAACAUGGUGGGAACAAAUCAUGAAGAAAGAGAGAAUGGUCUUAAAAGAAGAUAAUUUUUCACUGAAAAGAGGUCAUAAAGUUUGGUUGUAUGUAUUUAACGGAGAGGCACAGGAAUAGAUAGUAACCCUCAUUAUCUACUGAGGGAAUUUCUGUGCUAGGAUGUCUUAAAAUGUCUAUUUGAUGAGGAUCUUGGAAGGACAAAGAUGAAAGCACUUUUCUUUUCUUUUUUUUUUUUUGAGGAAAAAGGUUGAUAGUCCAAGUGUAAGUAACAAGAAUGGGAGAUGAGGUGGGGGGAAAAGGAAUUUUGAGAUAAAAAAGAAUAUGUAGGAUGGCAGUAAGACAUAAAAGCUGAGAAGUUUACAUCCUAGAUCUCCAUAUAAUUUUUCAGAUAAAUAAGAAGAGCUUCAUGCUGAUAUGGGAAGUGUCAGAAAGCCUUGAAGACACUCAGAGAACUCAAGGGAACCCUUAUCUCAUCUGCAUAUGGUGUUCACAAAGGGCCUGCUGGAAGAUCCAAGUCCAGUCUGCACUCAUGAAGCACCUGCUCUGCAGAAAUGGAGCUGAGGGCAGUAGCUUUUACAUGUCCUGCUGUGCCACAGAACAGAACGUGGAAGUUUGCAAGUUAAGAUUGUUUUGGUUUUGAUGAAUAGACUACACAACAAAAUUGAGCGAGGCUUCUGCUGGCUGUUAUAUUACCAGACAAAAUGCAGUGACAUUCUUCAUGUCCAGAUUUCUUAAGACUUAGUGUUUCUUUCUCAUUGGAAAGGUGACAGCAUUAGCACGGUACACAAUUGGCAAAGUGCUGAAGGAUGAAUGUCUGUUUUGUUACCCCUAGAUCUUCCUUGGAAAUAUGUUCCCUAAGGACGUGGUUAUACAGUUGAAUGUGUUUUGGGCAGAGUGCGGGGCUUCCUUCAAGAGCGUAUGUCUCAAAUCUAAAAUGAAACUUCAUGCUUAGACUUUGUAGCAAGACUGUUGUCCUCUCCUUUUUUCUUAUGACAUCUGUAAGGGAAGAUUACAGGAAAGCAGGGAAACAUCUAAACUGUUCUUAAUUGCUAUUUAUACUAUCUCAGCAAUGAUGAUUUUAGCUAUAUUCCCACUUUAUAAAUGACAUAUGUAAUUGGGUUAAACAGAAUCACACACAACAUUUGUUGGUCAAUUACCUCUUAAAUUAUGUAUGUUUUCUUAAUUUGGAAAUGCAAUUUUUCUUCCACACAUAAAGCUCUUUUCUAAAUAUGUAUUUAGUAUAUCUGAAAUGAUUACUUGUAUUUGUACACAGAAGCUAAAUUGAAUAGAGUUUUUCUAUUAUGUGUAUACAUUUCUACAACCAGGAAGACACCUUUAUUUCUGUAUGUAUGGGGUGUUCUCUGAAUAAUGGAUAGAUAAAUCAAUGUGUGUGUAAGUCUUAGACAAGGAAAAUCUGAAAACCAAACGUGUUCGGUCAAUAUACUCAUAUUUAUUAAAGUUAAUAUUAUCCUAAGGCUCAAUUAUUUACUAGAAUUCCAGUAAGAAUGUUUGUCUAGGUAAAUGCAUUCUUGCGUGUCACCCUUAAAUACAUGUAACAUGAAAUCUUGUUUUACAAAAAUAAUUGAUCUCCACCAUGAACAGUAACUAAAAAUGUUAAUAGUUUUACAUUUGCUCCCUCAACAAAACAAGGUCAAAACUAAUCUUACAAAAACAUGCAUGAUAUAUACGAUCACUAUCUGUUUCACAAACCUUCACUUUGGAAGCAUCCUUGAAAAAGUUCGUGUGAAUGUCUGGUUUCUUUGCUUGUUUAAAUUGAUGUUCCUCCACUAAUGCUACUGUGUCUAUGCUGAUUUGUGCCAAAUAAUUAGAUUCUUACUGUAUACAGCACCGUUUACCCUACAGAGAACAGCAUUUAAACGUGCUCAACAUAUUUAAUUUUCCCAAAUUCAGAUUUAGGCAAGAGCCAUAAUAAACAGUAGUAUGAACUGGCA
rnacentral:lncRNA from 1 species